CGGUAAUUCCAGCUCCAAUAACGUAUACUAAAGUUGUUGCAGUUAAAAAGCUCGUAGUUGGAUUUCUGCGGGGACGGAGCGGCCGGACGCAACUUGCGACUCGAGCUAGCGCUUUCCCCGCAUCCUGCCGCGAACCGUGCUACCAUUAGUUUGGUGGCGCUGGGGAUCGGCUCGAUUACUUUGAGAAAAAUAGAGUGUUCAAAGCAGGCCACACGCCUUGAAUAAGUUAGCAUGGAAUAAUGACUAAGGACUUUGGUUCUUUUCGUUGGUGUUCGGGACUGAAGUAAUGAUUGAUAGGGACAGUUGGGGCGGUCCGUAUUCCAAAGCGAGAGGUGAAAUUCUUAGACCUUCGGAAGACGAACAGCUGCGAAAGCGUUCCGCAAGGAUGUUCCCUUUGAUCAAGAACGAAAGUUGGGGGAUCGAAGACGAUCAGAUACCGUCGUAGUCUCAACUAUAAACUAUACCAGCUAGGGAUCGGCCAACGUUUAAUUUAUCGACUUGGUCGGCACCUUAUGAGAAAUCAAAGCAUCUGGGUUCCGGGGGGAGUAUGGUCGCAAGGCUGAAACUUAAAGGAAUUGACGGAAGGGCACCACCAGCCGUGGAGCCUGUGGCUUAAUUUGACUCAACACGGGAAAACUUACCAGGUCCAGACAUAGGAAGGAUUGACAGAUUGAUAGCUCUUUCUUGAUUCUGUGGGUGGUGGUGCAUGGCCGUUUUUAGUCGGUGGAUGUGAUCUGUCUGCUUAAUUGCGUUAACGGACGAGACCCCAGCCUGCUAAAUAGCGCGGCCGAGCUUUGCUCGGUGCGAGCUUCUUAGAGGGACCAUGAUGCGCGAUAGCACAAGGAAGUUUGGGGCAACAACAGGUCUGUGAUGCCCUUAGAUGUUCUGGGCCGCACACGGGCUACACUGGCGCCUGCAACGAGCAUAUCAGCUGGCCCGAGAGGGUCUUGGCUAAUCUUUGGAACCGGCGCCGUGCUUGGGAUUGACCAUUGCAAUUGUUGGUCAUGCAACGAGGAAUGCCUUGUAAACGCGAGUCAUCAGCUCGCAUUGAAUACGUCCCUGCCCUUUGUACACACCGCCCGUCGCUCCUACCGAUGAAUGUUCCGAUGAAAUUUUCGGAGAGCACCAGAGAACGGGGCUCCGCCUUGCAGAUCUGGAGGCUCAAAGUCACUUAAAUCUGAACAUUUCGAGGAAGGAGAAGUCGUAACAAGGUAGCCG
rnacentral:rRNA from 1 species